rnacentral:rRNA from 1 species
GCGUAAGCUGCGUAGUGACCUGCGGAGGAUCAUUC